GGGAUUGUGGCUCAGAGGUGGAGCAUUCACCUGGCAUGUGUAAGGCACUGGGUUCAAUGCUCAGCACCA
rnacentral:tRNA from 1 species